AGCGGCGGACGGGUGAGUAACGCGUGGGAACAUACCCUUUGGUACGGAAUAGCCUCGGGAAACUGGGAGUAAUACCGUAUGUGCUCUUUCACUGUAGUGGUGGGGGAGGAAAGAUUUAUCGCCAAAGGAUUGGCCCGCGUUGGAUUAGGUAGUUGGUGGGGUAAUGGCCUACCAAGCCGACGAUCCAUAGCUGGUUUGAGAGGAUGAUCAGCCACACUGGGACUGAGACACGGCCCAGACUCCUACGGGAGGCAGCAGUGGGGAAUCUUAGACAAUGGGCGCAAGCCUGAUCUAGCCAUGCCGCGUGAUCGAUGAAGGCCUUAGGGUUGUAAAGAUCUUUCAGUGGGGAAGAUAAUGACUGUACCCACAGAAGAAGCCCCGGCUAACUCCGUGCCAGCAGCCGCGGUAAUACGGAGGGGGCUAGCGUUGUUCGGAAUUACUGGGCGUAAAGCGCACGUAGGCGGACCGGAAAGUCAGAGGUGAAAUCCCAGAGCUCAACUUUGGAACUGCCUUUGAAACUCCUGGUCUUGAGGUCNAGAGAGUGAAUGGAAUUCCCAGUGUANAAAUGAAAUUCUANAUAUUCGGAGGAACACCANANGCGAAGGCGGNUCACUGGCUCGAUCUUGACCCUUAGGUGCNAAACCNUGGGGAGCAAACAGGAAUANAUCCCUGGUANUCCAC
rnacentral:rRNA from 1 species